CCUACGGGGGGCAGCAGUGGGGAAUAUUGCGCAAUGGGCGAAAGCCUGACGCAGCGACGCCGCGUGAGGGAUGAAGGUCUUCGGAUCGUAAACCUCUGUCAGCAGGGAAGAACGGUCACUGUGCUAAUCAGCAGUGAAUUGACGGUACCUGCAAAGGAAGCACCGGCUAACUCCGUGCCAGCAGCCGCGGUAAUACGGAGGUUGCGAGCGUUAAUCGGAAUUACUGGGCGUAAAGGGCUCGUAGGCGGUAUGUCAAGUCAAGGGUGAAAGCCCCGCGCUCAACGUGGGAACUGCCUUGGAAACUGGCAAACUGGAGGGGGUGAGAGGAUAGUGGAAGUGCAGGUGUAGGAGUGAAAUCCGUAGAUAUCUGGAGGAACAUCAGUGGCGAAGGCGACUAUCUGGCACAUAACUGACGCUGAGGAGCGAAAGCGUGGGUAGCAAACAGGAUUAGAUACCCGUGUAGUC
rnacentral:rRNA from 1 species